GAUACUAGUUGGAUCCAUUUCCACUGCACUACAAUGGGAACUCCCUUUUGCUCCUUUUCAACCUUCUCAAAAUUCGUCGGAUCACCUUGAUGAAAUCCCCUCAGACUUCAUGGGAAGGAGCUGGAGCCAUUGGUAACCAAGAAGCUCAAAGACAGACUCCCAGACAGACUCCCAUCAUGGUCCCCAAAGAUGGAGCUGGCUUAGGGGACACAGGGCUGCCUGAUGCUGCCAUGGAGACAAGCAGGUGCCACUGGGUUGGCAUUCCCUUAAUCCAUCUGACAUUGAGUAAAAAACAAAAACAAAAACAUGAAAAGAAAAAAAAAAAAAAACUCAGCCUAUUUGGACAAAGCAGAAAAUUGAGUCGUGUGCAAGGCCAGGAACACUGUCAGCCCGAAUCACUGUCUGCUAAUCCCAGCCCGGUUUUCAUCAGUGACUCCCUGGCACUCUGAGAAAACCACGCCGAGCUUGGCAAACACCCCACUCCCUCCACCAGCCCGGCAGGUGGGGUCGGGGGGACAGGCCGGUACUCACGCUGCUGGGAUGGAGCACCGGCAGAGGCAGCAGCAGGAGCGGCACCAAGAUGAUGAGCAGCAGCUUCCUGGCUCGGAGAAGGCCCUUCAGCAAGCCCAUCCUGGACCUCGAGUCACCUCCUCCCCCUCGGAGCCUUCGCGCCAACCAAGUGCCUGGACUGUUUGCGAUGGUCGCCCCCAGCCAGAAAGACUUCUCCAACCUUUCUUGGCUUCCAAGAGUCCUCUUGCCUCUCCAGGGCAGAACAGGAGGGCAGGUACAGGCCCUGUUUGCACCACAGGCUGGGCUUCUCACCUCCUGUUUUAGGUGGGAUUGGUGAGCAUAGUUUUAUGCCCAGCCAAAAGGAAGCGGGGAAGGAUGCUAAAUGGGCACAUAAUGGCCCCCUCUUUGCUUGAUCAGUAAUGGAGUAACUUCAUGCUAAAGCGCAGCCAAAGCCCCCUUAAGCAAUCUAGAUUAUUCCUCUGCUGCAGCUGUUUGGUUUUGAAGAAGUCAUUUAAGAGCUUUAAAAAAAUUAAAAAUACCGAACACCUC